UACGUAGGUGGCGAGCGUUGUCCGGAUUUACUGGGCGUAAAGAGCGCGCAGGCGGUCGUUCAAGUCGCGUGUGAAAGCCCCCGGCUCAACUGGGGAGGGUCACGCGAUACUGAUCGACUCGAAGGCAGGAGAGGGAAGUGGAAUUCCCGGUGUAGUGGUGAAAUGCGUAGAUAUCGUGAGGAAGACCAGUGGCGAAGGCGGAUCUCUGGACAAAUCCUGACGCUGAGGCGCGAAGGCUAGGGGAGCAAACGGG
rnacentral:rRNA from 1 species